rnacentral:tRNA from 1 species
CCCUCUUAGUUCAGUUGGCAACACUCUAUGAGAAGCUAGGCGGACUGCUAAUCCGUAUGGCACUGGUUCAAGUCCAGUAGAGUGAA